UGGGGAAUUUUGGACAAUGGGCGAAAGCCUGAUCCAGCAAUGCCGCGUGCAGGAUGAAGGCCCUCGGGUUGUAAACUGCUUUUGUACGGAACGAAAAGCCUGGGGCUAAUAUCCCCGGGUCAUGACGGUACCGUAAGAAUAAGCACCGGCUAACUACGUGCCAGCAGCCGCGGUAAUACGUAGGGUGCAAGCGUUAAUCGGAAUUACUGGGCGGAAAGCGUGCGCAGGCGGUUUUGUAAGACAGUGGUGAAAUCCCCGGGCUCAACCUGGGAACUGCCAUUGUGACUGCAAGGCUAGAGUGCGGCAGAGGGGGAUGGAAUUCCGCGUGUAGCAGUGAAAUGCGUAGAUAUGCGGAGGAACACCGAUGGCGAAGGCAAUCCCCUGGGCCUGCACUGACGCUCAUGCACGAAAGCGUGGGGAGCAAACAGG
rnacentral:rRNA from 1 species